CUCGAGCCCCCACCACCCGCUCUACCGCCCCCUCGAGCCCCCACCACCCGCCCCACCGCCCUCUGCUGCCUGGGGCUGUUGCUGGUUCCAGGCCUUCGGGUCGCCCCUUGGCCUCUGGUUAUGUGAGCCCAUAGUCCUUCCUGUCUUGGUGACAUCGUAUACGAAAAGCCGGGGCUCGAUUUGGACAUAGUAGGAAUCCUAUUAUUGAGACCCUGUAUAUAGAAAAACAUGGCAGUUUCUACCUUCAUCAGUUAAUAAAAUCAAGUACCUACUAUUGCUAUUCUUAAUCAUAAUUACAUUGAAUUUGCGAUGGGGGUGGGGGGAAAUGCAUGUCAUUGCAGUUGAUACCUGUUAAGAAACUCUCAAUUUGUGCCCUGAAAAGCCAUAAUGGAGAUAUCAAUGCCUCCACCUCAGAUAUAUGUAGAAAAAACUCUGGCCAUUAUCAAACCAGAUAUUGUUGACAAAGAGGAGGAGAUACAAGAUAUUAUUCUUAGAUCCGGAUUCACCAUUGUUCAGAGAAGAAAACUACACCUCAGCCCUGAGCAAUGUAGUAACUUUUAUGUG
rnacentral:sRNA from 1 species